AUUGAACGCUGGCGGCAGGCCUAACACAUGCAAGUCGAACGGUAACAGGAAGAAGCUUGCUUCUUUGCUGACGAGUGGCGGACGGGUGAGUAAUGUCUGGGAAACUGCCUGAUGGAGGGGGAUAACUACUGGAAACGGUAGCUAAUACCGCAUAACGUCGCAAGACCAAAGAGGGGGACCUUCGGGCCUCUUGCCAUCGGAUGUGCCCAGAUGGGAUUAGCUAGUAGGUGGGGUAACGGCUCACCUGGGCGACGAUCCCUAGCUGGUCUGAGAGGAUGACCAGCCACACUGGAACUGAGACACGGUCCAGACUCCUACGGGAGGCAGCAGUGGGGAAUAUUGCACAAUGGGCGCAAGCCUGAUGCGGCCAUGCCGCGUGUAUGAAGAAGGCCUUCGGGUUGUAAAGUACUUUCAGCGGGGAGGAAGGGAGUAAAGUUAAUACCUUUGCUCAUUGACGUUACCCGCAGAAGAAGCACCGGCUAACUCCGUG
rnacentral:rRNA from 1 species